CCCAUUUAAAAUGAGACUUGUUGCUUUUAGUCUAAUAGGAGAUAAAGAGUUAAUUAUGACUAAGAAAGUCUUAUAAAUGUAAAUCCAAUGAGCAAAUUACAUAAAUUGUUAGAUAAGAAUUUCAUUAGAUAAGAAUUGACAGCAUUUAAAAAAAUUUAAGAGUAGAGUGUACAGAAAUCAGGAAGAAAAUAAUUUUUUAAAAGCUGGGAAGUCGGGCCUUAGAGGUCAGAGAGAUUUUGAGAGACUGUUUAGAAUGUGGCUUGGAGUCCUGCGGGGUGGGGGAGGGCCGAGCGUCUGGGAGAUCCCAGCGCAUUUGGGCGCGCCUUCUCUGUUCUAAAACUAACACUGAGGCUUGCCAUGUGCAGUGUUCAGCUGUGCUGUGAUGGCACAGGGAGACUGGGUCGUGCGACCCAGGGUACUUGCUGACCGGAUGGCUGUCCGGUCAGUUCGAAAAUCUCUGGGCCUGUGGCACAGCUGAGUCAACGUCUGCGCAAUUGAAAAUAAUCCUCUGCACACACUUUUGGGAGUCCUUGGAGGCAAAGCUGAACCAGUUGUAGGAUGGCCUGCCGCAUCUCUGUUGUUAUCUCCUUUUGGCCUAAGGAUGCUGAAAAUGCUCUUUGGUUACCUGAAUGACUGAUGCAGUUUGUGGAGGCUGCCACUUCUGCUGACUGUAUCAACAGUAGUUUGGUGAUGAGUGCAAUAAGAGAACCAUGCUGGGCAUAUGUUCCAGAUCCUCCUCUGCUACAACCUGUUCCUUGGAAUGGUCUGGAAAUAUUUGUAUCCACUAAUGACACUCACUUACUAGAUUUUCCUUGGACUGAGCAACAAGUGACUUCACAGAUGAAUAAUUAUUCUGGUAUCAGUAAGGCAAUUCCUAUAUGCUUUCCAAAAAAAUGCUACUCAAAACUGAUGUGUCAUUGUUACCUCACAAAUAUGGACUGCAAAUAUCACAAAGAAUACUCAACAAAGUGUCAUGAUGGGCAUGCCACAGUUUGAAGAAACUAAUAUUUCUCACAACUUAUAUUCACAAAGUGUUAGAGCAUUUUUAUUAAAACCAGGUAGUUUAUGAGACCCCAUAUAUAAUAAAUCUAUUAAUUGGAAGCACUGUUAUCAUGCCUGUUCAAUUUUCUAUUAGUAAUGUAUCUAAGAUAAUUAUCUGGUCAGAGAAUCAAACAGAU